AGACUAAGAGCCUUGCGAUUUACCCCCCAGCGUGCUUGUCCGUCUGUCACGGCGGUGUGAUUGCCGGGUGUUUGCAUUUCGACCUUUUACUGAUCUUGCACGCGUGUUGGUCUCGGUGGUGCUCUUUUUGGCGUUGCUAGUGGUGGCGCAGACGGAGCCUACGAACACGGCGGAGAGCCAAGCACCUGAGGACCCGCAGACUUCCCGGUUCACCUGGACGAUAGAGAACUUCACCAGGGUCAGCGGGAAGAAGCACUACUCAGAUGUGUUUGUCGUUGGUGGAUUUAAAUGGUGAGUUUUGGACAACUUGCCAUUUUGAUUCGCUGUGAAAAUGCGUCUAAUGUGGGAGAUGUUGGAUGUUGAAGGUACUGAUGGAUGUGCUUGUUUUGGACGUAGGCGUGUGCUAAUUUUCCCCAAGGGAAAUAAUGUGGACCAUCUCUCGAUGUACUUGGAUGUUGCAGACUCGGGGAACCUCCCUUACGGAUGGAGCCGGUAUGCUCAGUUCAGCCUAGCCAUUGUAAACCAGAUCCAUCAGAAGUAUACAGCACGCAAAGGUAUUGCUUUUCUUGGAUUAAUGCUGUAAUCAUAGUUUUUAAGCCAUCUGUCAUGGAAGUUUCAAGGGAAUAUAACCUUGAAGUCUUGAGCUGACGUGGAACAGGAUGAACCCAUUGAUCAGUUAAGAUUCUGUGCAUGUACUGCCGCGUGUUAUCCGUUUGGCUGUGCAACUGAAGCUGUGCACGGUACAUGCCUAGGCUAUCAUGCAAUAAUGAUGCUCGAUGACACAACCCCCUUUUUUCUUUCUUUUGGUGAGAUGGAGCACAUUCGUGUAGAUCAAGAUAUACAAUAUUCAUAACUGAUGUAUCACAUGCAAAGCAGACAUCUUUCUUGUAAAGUUUGAUAUAAACCUUGUCUAGUCUUCACUUCGAUGUCUAAGGAUCGUUCAACUUUUAUACCUGGGAGCUGGAUGUUUCUCAGCUGUGCAUCUCUUUUUUGUGGGUUCUUGGUCAGUGGUCAACAUUGUUAAAGUAAUUCAAUUAUUGUGUGGACUCUAGUUUGACGUUGUAUUUCUAUGGUACUGGUGGCGCUGAAAUUGUUAUAUAUAUACAGGUAACAGUUUGGGAAUUAAUUUCAUGAAACUUCUUUUAGGUUAUCCGUAAAUCACAAAUCACAAAAUUUGCAGUUGAUCGUUUUCUUUCUUUUGAGAAACUUACUCCCUCCGAUCCACAAUAAGUGUCGCAGUUUUGAAUUGUGGAUCGGAUGGAGUAGUUGAUAAUUUUUAUAAUGCACAUUAGAUUAUGUUCUAUCACGAGGAAAAAAUCCUUAUAUUUCCACUCAUAUUGUUUUAGUACUUCUCGGUCAGUUAUUGUUGCUUGAAGCCUGAACCUUCAAUUAUUUUUUAUCAUGCAUUUAGUAAUGGUAUAGUGAUUGUUAGUUUUGUUCCAUGUCACGCACUCGAUUGUGCCCUCAUGCUUUCAAAGACUCUUUUGGCUUGUUAUUUUAUGUGGUAGCUAAUGAAGUUCGAUAGUAGCGGUGCUUUGGUGAUAUUGUGAGUUUUUAAAUAUUUCUGCAAAAUUUCUCUGGUUAAGGCUGUAUGUUGGUCCCAUGUUUGGCAGAUACUCAACAUCAGUUUAAUGCACGUGAGAGUGACUGGGGUUUCACAUCUUUUAUGCCUCUGAGUGAGCUGUAUGACCCAAGUAGGGGCUAUCUCGUGAAUGAUACUGUUGUUGUUGAAGCUGAGGUUGCUGUUCGCAAAAUGAUCGACUAUUGGACUUAUGACUCGAAAAAGGAAACAGGUUAUGUUGGUCUCAAGAAUCAGGGUGCUACCUGUUAUAUGAACUCUCUUCUGCAAACCCUGUAUCAUAUACCUUACUUUCGGAAGGUGUGAGACCUUGCUUUGUCGUACCGCACAUGCUUUGUUGUGAGUUUGAAUUUUGAACUAAUUUUGAGUCAAUUCAUUGAUUUUCUUCUUAGGCUGUAUAUCACAUGCCAACUACUGAGAAUGACAUGCCAUCUGGGAGUAUUCCUUUAGCCCUGCAGAGCCUUUUUUACAAGCUCCAGUAUAGCGACAAUAGUGUAGCUACAAAAGAGUUGACUAAAUCUUUCGGGUGGGACACCUAUGAUUCUUUCAUGCAGCAUGAUGUGCAAGAGCUCAAUAGAGUUCUAUGCGAGAAACUUGAAGACAAAAUGAAGGUGGAUGUUAUAUUAACAAUUACCUCUAUGCCAAUUACUUGUCAUUAACUUUGCUUUCUCCCCAGGGAACUGUUGUGGAAGGAACAAUUGAACAACUAUUUGAAGGCCACCACAUUAAUUACAUUGAGUGCAUUAAUGUUGACUAUAAAUCUAACAGAAAAGAGUCCUUUUAUGGUAGGACCUAUACUUUGAAUUGUGUUUGCAUUUUAUGUGCUAUAUCCAUCUAUUAUUUAAUGGUCACUUAUGCUGGCCUUGCAGAUCUACAACUUGAUGUCAAAGGUUGUCGUGAUGUUUAUGCAUCAUUUGAUAAAUAUGUCGAAGUGGAGCGUCUAGAGGGUGAUAACAAAUACCAGGCUGAACAACAUGGCUUACAGGUUCCUACAAAUCAUGUUCUAAUCAUGGCUUUGAACCUGAAUCUUAAGUUGCAUUAUCUUUGUUGUUAAAUAUUUUGGAAUAUUGGUGUGGUACAUUGUACAUAUGAAUGGCAGGGUACCUUUGCUUGCUCUAUUAAUGGUUACUUUCUAAUGUUUCUAAUGUUGCCUUGUGAUCAUGAGGUCACGGGUUUGAGUCCUGGAAACACCCUCUUUCAGAAAUGUAGGGAAAGGCUGUGUACAAAAGACCAAAGUGGUAGAACCCUUCCCCGGACCCUGCGCAAGCGGGAGCUACGUGCACCGGGCUGCCCUGUUUUUUUGCUUGCAUUAGUCAAUACACAGAGAUGGUUUACUUGAUAGUAAUUUUGGAUAAAAGAGGUGUUAGUGUUGUAGCUGACGUUGUCUACGGAGGUUGUAGAGUGGGAUACUCGGAGGACGCAUGGGCCGUCACCGUGUAGGCGCCGUGGUACAGUAGAAAGGUAGUGGGGAAAGAUUGGAGAAUUAGAGGGGUAGAAGAGAAGCAUAGGCAGGAACUAGAUAU
rnacentral:lncRNA from 1 species